UCUCUGCUAUUAGGAAGGAUUGAAAGACAAGCCCACUCAUACUUGUUCUUGGAUUUAGCAAUAUACUUUAGAAUUUAUUCACUUUACUUUUUCUUCUUGAAAAGCUAUUUAGGAAGGCAAAUAUAGACAACAUGAGUAAAUUAAGUGAAAAGAAUCAAAGCUUUUAGAAAAUCAAGUUCAUGUGUGAAAAUAGAAGAAAAUAAUUACCCAGAGCAAAGGGACAUCUUGAAAGGUCAUCUGGCCCAUCCCUGUGGAUUAUGCAAGCCUGACAGAAAGAAUUUACAAUGAACAGCAACGACAAGGCCAGUUGACAGAGAAACCUCAGAGACAGCUCCACAGUCCUCACAGGUCGGACUGGUCAUGGGAAUGCUGAGGAUCCAGAUGCUAAGAGUUAAAAGAAGCCACGGAAAAUUGGCUCAGAACUUCAACUAUUGAUACUACCCUCAGAUGAAGAGAGUCUCCUUACCCAAGACCUCCUUACCCAGAACCAAUCCUCGUACAAUGACUAGUUAAUUCUGAAACACUGUGCAGUAGCAGAAAUGGGCUGAUUAUCCUGGUUUCACAGAUGAGAUUUUGGAAGCUAUGUGACUUUCCCAAGACUUUGAAGCCAGUAAACAGUAGAGCCAGAACUCAAACCCAGGCCUUCCGUUUCCAAGUCUCAGAUUGUCUGCGAUGCAACUCACUGCCUCCCCCCAGGGCCAUGUGGUGAACUGUUGGCAAAAUAAAUGGAAAAAAAGAAAGAAAAAAGCAGAAAUGUAAGGCUUGAAAGCCUUUUUGGAAUUUGGAGGAAUAAGCAUUAGGGAACAACCGAAAUGACAUGAUCAAAGUCUAAUGAGAAGUAAGAAGCGCUGGGAGUAUUUGAAUUGCUUUGAAAUUUAUAGGUAUAUUUUUAAUACCAAAAAAAAAUGUGUAGACCUUCCCCAUCUCUACUUUCUCCAAUGUGUUAUUCUUAUGUCCUAAAUACUAGAUUCCUAUUCUCCUUCAUUUAUGGACUUAUAGCUUUAAGUAUAUUUUCUGAAUACUUCUUCCUAUCUAUACUUUCUAAUAAAAAAAAUCAAUACAUCUAUCCCAUGUUUUUAAUUCCUAUACAACACUCAGAAGCCAUGCAAGGGAUUCUCUUAUAUUGUGACUAAGAAUGA